AAACCCCGUAAAUUUUGGAGAUGUAUGUAAUGCUGACAU
rnacentral:rRNA from 1 species